rnacentral:rRNA from 1 species
AUUGAACGCUGGCGGCAGGCCUAACACAUGCAAGUCGAGCGGUAGCACAGAGAGCUUGCUCUCGGGUGACGAGCGGCGGACGGGUGAGUAAUGUCUGGGAAACUGCCUGAUGGAGGGGGAUAACUACUGGAAACGGUAGCUAAUACCGCAUAACGUCGCAAGACCAAAGUGGGGGACCUUCGGGCCUCAUGCCAUCAGAUGUGCCCAGAUGGGAUUAGCUAGUAGGUGGGGUAACGGCUCACCUAGGCGACGAUCCCUAGCUGGUCUGAGAGGAUGACCAGCCACACUGGAACUGAGACACGGUCCAGACUCCUACGGGAGGCAGCAGUGGGGAAUAUUGCACAAUGGGCGCAAGCCUGAUGCAGCCAUGCCGCGUGUGUGAAGAAGGCCUUCGGGUUGUAAAGCACUUUCAGCGGGGAGGAAGGCGAUAAGGUUAAUAACCUCAUCGAUUGACGUUACCCGCAGAAGAAGCACCGGCUAACUCCGUGCCAGCAGCCGCGGUAAUACGGAGGGUGCAAGCGUUAAUCGGAAUUACUGGGCGUAAAGCGCACGCAGGCGGUCUGUCAAGUCGGAUGUGAAAUCCCCGGGCUCAACCUGGGAACUGCAUUCGAAACUGGCAGGCUAGAGUCUUGUAGAGGGGGGUAGAAUUCCAGGUGUAGCGGUGAAAUGCGUAUAGAUCUGGAGGAAUACCGGUGGCGAAGGCGGCCCCCUGGACAAAGACUGACGCUCAGGUGCGAAAGCGUGGGGAGCAAACAGGAUUAGAUACCCUGGUAGUCCACGCCGUAAACGAUGUCGAUUUGGAGGUUGUGCCCUUGAGGCGUGGCUUCCGGAGCUAACGCGUUAAAUCGACCGCCUGGGGAGUACGGCCGCAAGGUUAAAACUCAAAUGAAUUGACGGGGGCCCGCACAAGCGGUGGAGCAUGUGGUUUAAUUCGAUGCAACGCGAAGAACCUUACCUGGUCUUGACAUCCACAGAACUUUCCAGAGAUGGAUUGGUGCCUUCGGGAACUGUGAGACAGGUGCUGCAUGGCUGUCGUCAGCUCGUGUUGUGAAAUGUUGGGUUAAGUCCCGCAACGAGCGCAACCCUUAUCCUUUGUUGCCAGCGGUUAGGCCGGGAACUCAAAGGAGACUGCCAGUGAUAAACUGGAGGAAGGUGGGGAUGACGUCAAGUCAUCAUGGCCCUUACGACCAGGGCUACACACGUGCUACAAUGGCAUAUACAAAGAGAAGCGACCUCGCGAGAGCAAGCGGACCUCAUAAAGUAUGUCGUAGUCCGGAUUGGAGUCUGCAACUCGACUCCAUGAAGUCGGAAUCGCUAGUAAUCGUAGAUCAGAAUGCUACGGUGAAUACGUUCCCGGGCCUUGUACACACCGCCCGUCACACCAUGGGAGUGGGUUGCAAAAGAAGUAGGUAGCUUAACCUUCGGGAGGGCGCUUACCACUUUGUGAUUCAUGACUGGGGUGA